UUUCCUGCCUUGUUCUCUUUCAAGUCGUUGUUCAGAUGUUACCUUCUUGGUGGGACUUGACUGUGUUUAAAAUAAAGCUUUCUGUAGCUCUCUUCCUACUUCAUUCUAUAGAGUGCCUACUAACUUUGAAUAUCUGUAUAAUUUAUUAUGAGUAUAUUAUAAUUUACUGAUCACCUAUAAAAAUCAUAAGUUUUGCUUAUGGUUAUAAGUUUAUUCUUAGUCAUUUUCACAUAUGUCAAAACAUACAAAACUUUAUGUUGAAAUAAAUGAGGAGUUGCUCAGUGGUAAGGAACCUUACUGGAAUCCAUGAGGACGUGGGUUUGAUUCCUGGCCCUGCCCAGUGGGUUAAGGAUCCAGCAUUGCUGUGAGCUGUGGUGUAGGUCGCAGACGUGGCUCUCAGAUCUGGUGUGGUUGUAGCUGUGGCCAGAAGCUGCAGCUCCUGUUUGAUCCUUAGCCUGGGUACUUGGCCUUGGGUACAGCCCUAAAAGGGUGUGAGGGGGAUUUUAUCAGAGGUCACCAGGAAUGUUUGUUUUCUGAAUUUCCUUAGGAGGGGCUGAUCACCUUUGAAUAAGCAAGUUUUGAAAGUUCCAGAUAUAAGUGAAAUAUUGCAUAGAAAAAUUAGAAGUGAAUGAAAUGAGUGUAUUAGCAGAAACUAAAACAUAAUCUGGUUAAUUCUUAACAGAAUAAAUGAUAUAUUUGAAAACCGUGAAGAAUAGUUUAAACCCUUCCAAGAACAUGGAGAGAGGGUUUUUUAAAAAAAGUAGUAUUUAUAUUUAAUACUCAGGAAAAAGUGAUUCUAAAGAUGAAUUCAUGGCCCAAUCUUUGUAACCAUUGUGAGGCUAAGCACUGGGUCAUUGCUAGAAUAGUGUCUGGCACAUGGUAGCUUCUAAAUACAUUUAUUUUAAAAGGUUCUCAGAGUUUGUUUACUGAUUCAUUCAUUGAUUAUUUAUUCAACAGGUAUUAAUACCAACUGCCCUUCUAAGAAAGUGCUGAGAUAGAGUAUUAUAAUGAUAAUACAAGAGCUUCUGUAAGUAGGACAGUAGCCCUCUUUGUUUUAAAAGGAUAUAUACUCCUGUCCCCUUCCAUAUAGAAUAUUUGUUUUUUUGGGGGGGGCAAAAGAAUGUUAAAAUAAAAUUAUUAAAAUAUUCAAUACUUUUACAAUCUUAAAUUAGUUGCAUUUUUCUUUUUAAUUUAUGUUGAUACCUACUUAAUAUUUUAAGGCAUUUCCAGUACCUUAUUUGCUAAUGUAUGACAUCAUCCUAGGAAUUUACUUGUAAAGCUUUCUAAGUAUUUUAAGUAUAAUGUGUUUUUUUCAAUUUAAAUUUUAUAGAAUAUUAUAUAUUCUAACUCAAUGAAAAGAAUACUCUUAAGAAAGAAUAGCUGUGAGGGUGAAGGACAUGAUUUUUAAAGAAAUGUCUCAUAAACAUAAGCUCAUUGUUAAUUAGGGAAGUGCAGGUUGAAACAAGAGAAUAUCUUUUACGUAUCAGAUUGUUAAAAUUUAAACACUGAUUCACUCCAGUGAUGAGGAAAGGGAAUACCCAUGUGCUGGUGGUGGGAAUAUUAAUUUGUACACUAGAUUUAAGAGGAUGGUAUGAAGGUAAAAUGUAGAUACAUACAGUAUUGUAUGUCCAAUAUGUCCAAGAAUGUUUAACAUUAUUUGUAAGAGGUAAAACUGUGAAGUUAACCAUCAGUGUUGGUUAAUUAUUUUAUAUCUAUAAAGUGGUAGUUUACUGCAUUAUGAAAAAUAGAACAUUUUGAACUGACGAGAUGUUAAUUAGGGAGAAAUGCACGUAACAAUAUAGUAUGAUUAUAUUGUUUGCAGAAAAACACAAAUGAUUAUAUAUUAGCUUGUGUAUAGAAAGAUACUUAGAAGAAUACAACGAUUUAUACCAAACUCUUGGGAUUAGGGACAAGAAAGUGGAAGACAUGCACUUUUUAUCCUCUCUCUUCUGAAGGGUGAGUAAAACGAUACAUAAAACACAGAAAAGAAAAUAGAGAAAAACAUAUUUUAAAAGCUUCUAACAAUUCUAGACUUCCUCAGUUACAGAGUGUAGGUGGAGAGUUUUUCCAAAAGAAGUAUCUCCUAUUAAUCAAAUCACUACUUUUAGCAUCAUCACUGAUAUGAAAUCAACCCCUUAUUUGGGCUGCUUUUUAAAGUUGGGGCGUGGAAUCCUACUAGGACCUUCUAACAUUGUUUUUCUACUUCUCCCAAUAAUUUUGGAAACUUCUUAAAUACUUCUAUUCAUUUAGCUAAAAGACAAAAUUUAUUUUAAGUAGUAAUAUCACAAACCAAAUGAAACUGUUCAGUGUGUUCUUAUAUUUUUAAAAAUCAUAUGCCAGCAUCUCAUUCUUGAAUUUUAUUCUCUCAUUCAUUGAAUAUCAUUCAAGAAUGGUCAAAAGUUUGCUUUUAAAUUUAAGAAAAAUUAUCACUUUUUUCUUAUUGUCACACAUUAUGUAUGUUCUCUUUAUAUUUGAAUGGGUACUAUGUGAUCUGAUAGCAGGAGGUUCUCUGCAAUUCUCAUGGUGUCAGGUUUGUAGAAUGUCACUGAGACAUUCAUUUGUUCUUGAAGAAUUGGCCAGCACUGAAUCAAGGAAUACAAAUACUGUGUUACUUUGUAAAUUUAGUUUUCAGGGUGCUUAUGUGUAUAAAAAUGAAUGCAUCAGAACAUUUAAAAAACCUGUUAGAUAUCUUCCUGGAUUCUGAGUUUGGUUUAAAAAUAUUCGUUGAGGGAGUUCCCCUCGUAGAGUAGAGGAAAUGAAUCUGACUGGUAUCUAUGAGAAUGUAUGUGGGUUUGAUCCCUGGCCUUACUUAGUGGGACCCGGCCUUGCUGUGAGCUGUGGUGUAGGUCGCAGACAUGGCUCCGAUCCCUAGUGGCUGUGGCUGUAGUGUAGGCCAGCAGCUGUAGCUUCAAUUCGACCCCUGGCCUGGGAACUUUCGUAUCCCCUGGGUAUGGCC
ensembl:lncRNA